AUCUACAGUUUUAAAGGCCUAAAUGCCCCAAAGGCACCAGAUCCUGCCUGAUCUUGGAAACUAAGCAGGUACAGACUGGAUUAGCACUUCGAUGGGAGACCACAAAUAAAAGGCAGGAGCUGUAGGCU
rnacentral:rRNA from 11 species